UCUCCACUCCCCUCCAGGACAAUAUAUAUUCUUCCAGAUGUCCCCUGGCCAGGAGAAUCUCUGUCAUCGCUUUAGUGCUCACUCCACCUGCUCACAGGUUUCUAUGCAAGAAAAGGCCAGAGAGGCUCCCUCACCCUCCAGAUGGGCUCCUUCAAGAGAUAAUGGAUGUCAGGUUGGGCGCGGUAGCUCACACCCGUAAUUCCAGCACUUUGGGAGGCCAAGGCAGGCAGAUCACCUGAGGUCAGCGGCUCAAAGACCAGCCUGGCCAACAUGGUGAAACCCCGUCUCUACUAAAAAUACAAAAAUUAGCCGGGCGUGGUGGCACAUGCCUAUAAUCCCAGCUACUUGGGAGGCUGAGGCAGGAGAAUAGCUUGAACCCCGGAGGCGUGGGUUGCAAUGAGCCGAGAUCAUGCUACUGCACUCCAGCCUGGGCAACAGAGUGAGACUCUGUCUAAAAAAUAAUAACAAUAAUGAAAAUAAUUUACCAAAACUGACUCAAGAAGAAAUAGAGAACCUAAGUAAUCUUUCAAGCAUUAAAAAUAAACCAGAUCAGUAGCCGAAGAUGCACAUCCCUUAACUCCCAGCAACUUCACCAGUAGGAACAUACAGUGAAAUGUACUCACAUGUUCCACACAUUCUACAGGAAACACAAACAGGCCGGGCACAGUGGCUCACACCUGUAAUCCCAGCACUCUGGGAGGCUGAGGUGGGUGGAUCAACUGAGGUCAGGAGUUCGAGACCAACCUGGCCAACAUGGUGAAACCCUGUAUCUACUACAAAUACAAAAAUUAGCUGGGCAUGGUGGCAGGCACCCGUAAUCCCAGCUACUUGGGAAGCUGAGGCAGGAGAACCACUUGAACCCAGGAGGCUGAGGUUGCAGUGAAUCAAGAUCGUGCCAUUGUACUCUAGACUCGGUGACAGAGUGAGACUCCAUCUCAGGAAAAAAACAACAACAACAACAAAAAAAAGGAAACACAAACAGGGCUGCCCCGCAUUGUUUGCAAUUGCAAGACCUGGAACUCACUUAUAUGUUUAUCAAUAGACGAGGUUAACUGGAAUAUAUUAAUAUAAUGGGAUACUAUACAGCAGUAAGAAUGAGCGAGCUACACUUCACAAAUCCGGUAUCAAUAUUCUCUCCCAAAUAUAGUGUGAAAAAAGCACAGUGCAGAAGGAUCUGUUUAACAAAGAAGACCAUAUUGAUUUAUGUACAAGUCUUUUUGUAUAUACUACAAGGAAAACAGGCCAGGUGCGGUGGCUCAAGCCUGUAAUCCCAGCACUUUGGGAGGCCGAGGAGGGCAGAUCACCUGAGGUCAUGAGUUUGAGACCAGCUUGACCAACACGGAUAAACCCCAUCUCUACUAAAAAUACAAAAUUAGCCGGGCAUGUGGCACAUGCCUGUAAUCCCAGCUACUCGGGAGGCUGAGACAGGAGAAUCGUUUGAACCCGGGAGGCGGAGGUUGAAGUGAGCCGAGAUGGCGCCAUUGCACUCCAGCCUGGACAACAAGAGCAAAACUCCGUCUCAAAAAAAAAAAAAAGGAAAACAAUAGAAUGAUAACAAACAAAAAAUUCAGGGUAUAGUUCUUUCUCAGGGGAAGGGAAGAUGAGGAUGGAGGGACCCACUGUAGUUCCAAAAAUCACUGUAAUGUACUAGUUCUUAAUCCUGGGAGCAGCUACACACAGGUUCAUUAUUUAUGACAAGAGUACAUCAUUUAUCUUCUUCUUUAUGCAUAUACUUUUUUUUUUUUAAAUAUUCAGGUGGCUCACGCCUAUAAUCCCAGCACUUUGGGAGAC
rnacentral:lncRNA from 1 species